UACGUAGGGGGCAAGCGUUGUUCGGAAUUACUGGGCGUAAAGGGCGCGUAGGCGGCACAGCAAGUCGGGAGUGAAAGCCCGGGGCUCAACCCCGGAAUGGCUUUCGAAACUGCUGAGCUAGAGUACAGAAGGGGCAACCGGAAUUCCCAGUGUAGCGGUGAAAUGCGUAGAUAUUGGGAAGAACACCUGAGGCGAAGGCGGGUUGGUGGGCUGAUACUGACGCUGAGGCGCGAAAGCGUGGGGAGCAAACAGG
rnacentral:rRNA from 1 species